CGAUCUCAAAUCAGAUGUGGUGACCCACUGAAUUUAAGCAUAUUACUAAGUGGAGGAAAAGAAACUAACCAGGAUUCUCUCAGUAAUGGCGAGGGAGGAGCCCAGUACCAAAUCCUCACCCGGGUGACGGGUGCAGGGAAAUGUGGCAUAUGGAAGUUCAUCGCCCAGGUGCUGUCCAGGGGCCCUAAUGCCUUUAGAUCGAGGCUCAACCUGCGCCUGGUGUGAACCCGAUGGCGGCCUACGGAGUGUUGGGAUUAGUUCUUCCUGGAGUCAGGUUGUUUGUGAAUGCAGCCCAAAGUUGGUGGUAAACUUCAUCUAAGGCUAAACACUGGCACAAAAUGGAUAGCAGACAAGUACUGUAAGGGAAAGUUGAAAAGAACUUUGAAGAGAGAGUUCAAGAUGGUAUGAAACCAUUCAGAGGUAAACGGGUGGGGCCCAAGUGGUCCACCCACAGGAUUCAACUCAGAGGCCGUGUUGACCACUUAGGCGAGGUGGAUCACCCUCUCCCUCAAUGGGAUGAGGGAGCAUCUCUGGGCAUGCCAGCCACUGUUGGGCACACUUCCUACACAGCGGUGCACCGGGAUCAGCUCCAGGUCAGCAGGGAAGGUCGUGCAGAAGGUGGCUCCCCUACUUGGAGGGGAGUGCUACAGCCCAUGGCUGCAGCCCUCACCAUGCCCCAGGGUUGUAGUAGACAACUGCAGCCAACCCCAACGUUAUGGUGGGUCCAGGGGCCUCUGGCUCCAGGCGGGACUGUUGACUGCACUGGACUGUCCUCAGUGCAGUCUGACUGUGUCCCACUGCUGAGCCAGUGGGCUCACCUUGGAUGCCUGAGGUCUGUGGUGACAUUAGUGACCCACCCAUCCUGUCCUGAAACAUGGAUCACAGAGUCUAACAGGUCAGUGAGUCUGAGGGUGGUGAGGAGACCCCAUGGUGCAAUGAAAGUGAGGGCUGGCGCAUGCCAGCCGAGGCAGGAUCUCCCAGACCAGUGCGGGGGCACACAGCUGGCCUGUCUCACCUGUCCCAUUGGGGAGGUGGAGCAUGAGUGCACCUGGUGGGACCCGAAAGAUGAUGAACUAUGCCUGGGCAGGGUGAAGCCAGAGAAAACUCUGGUGAAGGUCCGCAGCAGUCCUGACAUGCAAAUCGGUCAUCUGACCUGGGUACAGGGACAAAAGACUAAUCUGACCAUCUAGUAGCUAGUUCUUUCUGAAGUUUCCCUCAGGAUAGCUGGUGCUCAGUGGAUGCAGUUUCAUCUGGUAAAGAGAAUGAUUAGAGGUCUUGGGGCCGAAACAAUCUCAACCUAUUCUCAAACCUUAAAUGGGUAAGAAUCCUGGUUCACUGGCUUGAAGCCAGGUGUGAAAUGCAAGCACCCAGUGGGCCACUUUUGUUAAGCAAAACUGGCUUUGUGGGAUAAACUGAACGCCGGUUUAAGGUGCCUGAUGCCAAUGCUCUGACCCCAGAAAAGGUGUUGGUUGAUAUAGACAACAGGAAGGUGGCCAUGGAAGUCAGAAUCUGCUAAGGAGUGUGCAACAAGUCACCUACCAAAUCAGCUAGCCCUGAAAAUGGAUGGCACUUUAGUGUCAGGCCCAUACCUGGCUGUCACCGGUGCUAGGAGCUGAGGGGACUACACCAUGAUGAGUAGGAGGGCCAGCGUGGUGGCACUGAAGCCCAGUAUGAGGAUCUGGGUGGAGCCGCUGCUGGUGCAAAUUUUGGUGGUAGUAUUAAAUAUUCAAAUGAGAGCUUUGAAAGCUGAAGUGGAAAAGAGUUCCAUGUGAACAGCAGUUGAACAUGGGUCAGUUGGUCCUGAGAGAUAGGCAAGCAUCGUGCCAAAGGGAUGGGUGAUAGCUUCUGUUGCCCUCAGCCAAUCAAAAGGGAGUCAGGUUCAGAUCCCCAAAUCCAGAGCAAUGGAUACAGGCACCUCGUGGCAUCCAGUGCGGUGACACAAAUGAUCCCGGAGAAGCUUGUGGGGCCCCGAGAUAGUUCUUUUUUCUUUAUAAAAGCCAAGGCACCUUGGAAUGGAUUCACCCUGAAAGAGGGGCCCACGCCCUGGAAAACAUCGCGGUUCCAGCUGCGUCAGGUGAGCUCUCACCGGUCCUUGAAAAUCCGGGGGAGAGGGUGUAAAUCUCAUGCUGGGCUGUACCCAUUUCUGCAGCAGGUCUCCAAGGUGAACAGCCUCUGGCAUGUUAGAACAAUGUAGGUAAGGGAAGUCAGCAAGCCAGAUUCGUAACUUCAGGAUAAGGAUUGGCUCUAAGGGCUGGGUCGGUCGGGCUUGGGUGUGAAUCAGGGCUGGGUUAAUGCCGCAGCUGGAUGAGGCAUUGCCCCCUCACUGUGCUUCACCCUCCCGGGGAGCCCGGGGGGACAGUGGUGGCAUCUCUGGAUGCAUGCCAGGCCCUUCCUGUGUAUUUCCCCACCUGUAGUGGGAGCCAGUCCCAACUGGCAUCCCACAUUGUCUGGUAGCUAGCAGUUGACUUAGAACUGGUGCAGACUGUGGGAAUCUGACCGU